rnacentral:rRNA from 1 species
UGGGGAAUCAUGGUCAAUGGGCGAAAGCCUGAACCUGCGACGCCGCGUGAGUGAUGAAGGUCGUAAGAUCGUAAAACUCUUUUCAGGGAUCUUAAAGCACAACCGUCAACAACGGCUGUGUGUGACUCUCCCUGGAAGAAGCCCCAGCCAACUACGUGCCAGCAGCUGCGGUACUACGUAGGGGGCGCGCGUUAUUCGGAAUUACUGGGUGUAAAGGGUAUGUAGGCGGCCCUUCAAGUCGCGUGUCAAAGUCCAUGG